rnacentral:snRNA from 1 species
GGUUUCAGCGGCCGAAGGAACCCUGCGAUAAAAUCGGAACGAUACAGAAAAGACUAGCAUGGCCCCUGCGCAAGGAUGACCUGCACACAUCGAGAGGUGUGCUAAGGUUAG